rnacentral:rRNA from 1 species
GACGAACGCUGGCGGCGUGCCUAAUACAUGCAAGUCGAGCGGACUGAUUAAGAGCUUGCUCUUAUGACGUUAGCGGCGGACGGGUGAGUAACACGUGGGCAACCUGCCCUGUAGAUCGGGAUAACACCGAGAAAUCGGUGCUAAUACCGGGUAAUAUCUGAGAUCACAUGAUCUUAGGUUAAAAGAUGGCUCCGGCUAUCACUACAGGAUGGGCCCGCGGCGCAUUAGCUAGUUGGUAAGGUAAUGGCUUACCAAGGCGACGAUGCGUAGCCGACCUGAGGGGGUGAUCGGCCACACUGGGACUGAGACACGGCCCAGACUCCUACGGGAGGCAGCAGUAGGGAAUCUUCCGCAAUGGACGAAAGUCUGACGGAGCAACGCCGCGUGAGUGAUGAAGGGUUUCGGCUCGUAAAGCUCUGUUGUUAGGGAAGAAACAGUACCGAACGAACUAGGUCGGUACCUUGACGGUACCUAACCAGAAAGCCACGGCUAACUACGUG